rnacentral:misc_RNA from 1 species
CUACUUCAAUAUUCCACCGCCACCACCUCAGCAGGAGAGAGCAUUCUACCCAUCAAUGGACCCUCAAAGAAUGGGAGCUCUGGUUUCGACUCACGAUGCGGGGGUGCCCCCUAAUGGUCCUACAAGUUCAACCGAAACUAGACCCGGUUCUGAGAAACAACACCAACAGGGCCAUCAAUUUCCCUAUCACACAAUGCACCAACCACCACCUGCUCAAUAUCAACAGCAAUUUUAUCCGCCGUACGGGUACAUGCAACAGUAUCCACCGUACCCUCCUUAUCAUUCGAAUAUGCCACCCCCGCCCCAGCCCCAGUCCCAGCCCCAUCCUCCUUCAGGUUCCCAGCAAUAUCAUCAUCAGCAGCAGCAGCAGCAUUCUGCACCACCAGGCUCAGCCCCUCAGUCCCAUGGAGGAGCAUCUUCAGGUUCAGCACCGCCAGGAUCAACACCUUCAGCAUCUGCUCCAUCUUCAACAUCUUCCGAACCUGUGUCAUCAUAGAUCACGACUCUGAGGCAUCGAGGCUGGCUGUUGGCGAUUCCGGAAUUGAAUACUUCACUUGGAAGGGGAGGCGUAGAAGUCGGGAAGGCGAUAGCCACCCCCUGUUUAUAUCUUGACUUUCUUGUCAUGACUUUGUUAUGUAAUAUGACACUUUUACUGGAAACAGGGCGAGCAAUUUGGAUUUG